CUUCACAUUGUGAGGCUGAGCUCGCUCUGCUUUUUCCAUUGCUGGGCUCUGCGAGUGGCCUGUUGCCAGUCUCCUGCCUCACAUUAACAGGAAUACUAUAUAUUACUAAAUUCAAAGUGUUUUUCCUUCAGGACUAGAAGAAUGUAAUGGAGCAUGCAUCUGCAGCAGGACACCAUGCCUGUGGAGAGCUGGAGAGGAGAAUGGUGUCAUCACCUGAGGGGAAACACAAAGCAGAAAGAAACGAGGAGGGGAAAUUUUGGUGCUUAUUUUUAGACUCCGUGGUGUGGCAGCAAAAUCCAUUAAAAAUAAAUCUGGAUGGGCAUUCCCUCAUGUGGCUGAGACCAGUGCAUGGAGCCCAUCUCUGGACACCAGGAACAACCUCCUGGACACCAGGAACAAACUCCUGGAUACCAGGAACAGAGCUGGACACCAGAACAACCUCCUGGACACCAGGAACAGAGCUGGACACCAGGAACAAUGUUCUGGACACCCCAUUAUUGGCAGAUGUCUGUGGGAACCAAGUGUCAGCAACAGUAGCUGAAGCCUUUUAGAAGCAGUCUUUUCUUGCUUGCUUUUCCUAGAACUAAAAUAAAAUGAGAACAGGAUCUGUUGCCUGGCCUAUCUCCAGAGAAAUUUCAUGGACUUUAUUAAUCAAUUAUAUAAGGAAGAUCAUUGGGCAAUGGGCAGAAAUGACAAAGCAUCUCUGAACUUGCUGAGUUUUUCUAAGCAGCCCUUUUAAGGACCUCAUUGUUUUUCCUGCUGAGGGAGAAGAGUCUUCACAGAGGCAAUUUAAGGCAGUAGCUCCUUGUGAUGAGAAGGAAUGAAAGCAUGCCAUGAAAACUUGGUUUUGGUAGGUAACACAUGACAAAACUGUCUUGUUCCUGGUGCUAAACAUGACCCGCUCCACUGUUUCCUCUUGUAACACACUGCUCUUGGUAUAGCACAUGUACAGCUCUACUAAAGGAAGUCGUGGUGGUUUGAUUUGCUAAAAAUGGCCUUUCCAACCUGGGGAAGAACCAGGAAUUCAGUUCUGAACUUUCACAAUUCCAUCAAUCCACAUGUAUUUGUAAUUGUAACUGAUCAAAAUGUCAAUGAUCUGGGUAGAGUAAGCAGGGAAGGAGGGCAUGAAAAAGAUUAAAUAUGGAUAAACUGCAGGUGAAUUCUAAACAUACACAACUCCAGUAUGGGUAAGACUGAACAUCUAAAAGAAACAUUGAUGUCAUUAGUCAUGGAGCUUUUCUAGGUAUGAGCAAAAAUGAAAGGCAGCACAAAUCUGUGUCACACACCUCUCAUUUGCAUGGCUUCUUUAACCUGGAUGUGUUCCCCAUGGAGCUUCUGGGCUAGCCCAAAAUAAUCUGCAUGGAUCCAAACAGACUUAAUUUUCUGUGUGUAAGGAGACUGAACUUGGCAUUUCUGAAUCUUGCUAAGCUUUUCUUUUUAGGCUUAAACACAGGAAAGACUUCAAACCUAAUUUCUCAGCUUAUCGUGCAAAUAAUAUUCUGAAUCUUGCAGGAUCAUAACUUUUUGUAUAAAGCUUUCCAGCUGUUUUCUGUUGAUAAAAGGCUUUAGCUGGGCACCAGGAGAUAAGACUGUGGGACUGAGAAAUUGCUGACUUAUUCUUGUAAUCUUCCAGCCUGGCAUUCCCAUAGGGAAGUUAUGGAUAGGUGUAACUCUGCACAAGUUAAUGUUCUAAUCCUUGAAUCCCACUCAAUGGCUCAGCCACUGAAUUUGAUGGAAAUUCUGGGCACCUGACACGUUUCAGCAUUCAGUUUUAUACAGAGACUUUAAAUUCCUGGCAGAUUGUCAGUGUGGAGCUCAAACUGAUUCACUUGGGGCUGUUCCUCUGGAUUUGAGAAUGUCGUGUUCUGAGAGCAAACCUGGCUGGGAACUUCAGUGGCACCCUUUGGAAGGACUCUGAACUUCCAGGCUCCAGAUCAGGAAAAACUGUCAGGAUCAAACAUGAUUUAUAGCAUG
ensembl:lncRNA